rnacentral:rRNA from 1 species
GACAGAGGGUGCAAACGUUGUUCGGAAUUACUGGGCGUAAAGCGCGUGUAGGCGGCCCUGUAAGUCGGGUGUGAAAUCCCACGGCUCAACCGUGGAAGUGCAUUCGAAACUACAGGGCUAGAGUUCUGGAGAGGAAGGUGGAGUGCUUGGUGUAGAGGUGAAAUUCGUAGAUAUCAAGCGGAACACCGGUGGCGAAGGCGGAUUGCUGGGCUGAUACUGACGCUGAGGCGCGAAAGCUAGGGUAGCAAACGGG